GCAUGAUGCCGUGGGACACCACUAGGAUUCUCCCCCCCUCUCAAAGCUGUAGUACUGUUGUCAGGGGGAAGAAUCCAGAAGGAAGAAAGGGCUUGGUCACAGACAGACGCCUUGCGGGCUCUGCAUAGGCAUCGCCAGCUGCUCAGCCGCUGAAGUCGCUUGUUCCCCCAAGAAAGCCCUGGGCUGCGUAUUACCUAGAAAGGUCAGCUUUGCUUUCCAGCCUAAUCCCCGCCCUGCUGUUGGCCGCGGUGGCGCCCGCGCCCCUGGAAGGGAAACGGUUAUUACUUUCUGACUAAAGCCAUCUGCUGGGUAAUGAGGCCUCCAUCAGGAAGGCGGCCCUUUGCUAACCUCACACCGGGAAUACAGAAUUCCUUUCUCUCCCCCGCUCCCUCUCCUUGACCCCUGACCUGUACUCCCCGUGCACUUGCUAACAAGGAAUUCUGCACAUUCGAUCACCAGUUCCAGGAGCGACAGGAGGAUCCGAAUGGCUCGUCGGAAAGGUGAAGCCACAGAGCCCUGGAGCUUCCAGGCACUCUGCCAGGUGCUCCCCUGUGGUGUGGACGCGUUCCCUGCCGACCUCCAAUUCCUGCCCAGCUGCGUGCUGCCUGCACCCUUGCCUCCCCCGGGCCCGCCCGGCCCUCGCUCCCCAUGUUCCCAAGGCUGCCGCCGUCUGAGUGUUUUCCCAGCAUCAGAGGGUGAUGGAGAGGCUGGGGGCCAGCUGCCAAGAAAGCAUUCGAGCUUUGCUUUCCUAUUUCGCUUCUCUCCCGGCCCAGCAGCCAGGGAAGUGUGUUUUCUGGAAAGAAGUCAACUGCCAGAGACUGCUCUAACCACACGGGGAGGGGAGGAGCUGCGGGCUCGGCCCAGGUGCCCAGGGACUGCCUCCUGCCAGCCCUGCCCUCUGCACAUCUUUGGAUGAGAUGAGACCCGUGAAACAGGAAUCGUUCUCUCCGUUUCAAAGACUGGAGAGUAGAGGCACACAAGCGAGUAGACAGAGCACCCCACAGCGCUGAGCUGGAGCCCCACAGAGAAGGGACGAGCUCCAGGCCCAGCCCUCUCCAAAGCUGGGUUGUUGCGGCCACACCAUGCUGUUGUCGGAAGAAGGAAGGGGACAGCGAGUGGAAGAGAAAGGACCACACCAACCCCAGCUCCUUCAGUACCGCCUGGCCACGUGCAGCGGGAUGCACAUCUUUAAAAUGAACACAAGACCUGCAUAAAAAGUCAUGGCUGGCAGUGUGGACGUU
rnacentral:lncRNA from 1 species